UAAGGCAAGUUCCUCAACCUCUUUGUGCCU
rnacentral:piRNA from 1 species